rnacentral:rRNA from 1 species
GUCUACCGCCAUGCCACCCUGAACAAACCCAAUGUCUGAUCUCGGAAGCUAAACAGAGUCGGGCCUGGUUAGUACUUGGAUGGGAGACCACCUAAGAAGACCAGGUGCUGUAGGCA